UGGGAUUGUAGUUCAAUUGGUCAGAGCACCGCCCUGUCAAGGCGGAAGCUGCGGGUUCGAUCCCCGUCAGUCCCGGC
rnacentral:tRNA from 1 species